rnacentral:misc_RNA from 1 species
CCGUGCAAAAAUAAAAGCGGAAGCCCAUGGAAGAGAACUUGUUCUCGGACAUGGGCUUCUGCUUUUAUUUUUAUAGGGCGCCAGCCCGUCAGCGAGGAAAUGCGCAUGCAUUUUCGAGCUGUUGCACGG